rnacentral:rRNA from 1 species
GAUGAACGCUGGCGACGUGCCUAAUACAUGCAAGUCGAGCGAACGGACGAGAAGCUUGCUUUUCUGAUGUUAGCGGCGGACGGGUGAGUAACACGUGGAUAACCUACCUAUAAGACUGGGAUAACUUCGGGAAACCGGAGCUAAUACCGGAUAAUAUUUUGAACCGCAUGGUUCAAAAGUGAAAGACGGUCUUGCUGUCACUUAUAGAUGGAUCCGCGCUGCAUUAGCUAGUUGGUAAGGUAACGGCUUACCAAGGCAACGAUGCAUAGCCGACCUGAGAGGGUGAUCGGCCACACUGGAACUGAGACACGGUCCAGACUCCUACGGGAGGCAGCAGUAGGGAAUCUUCCGCAAUGGGCGAAAGCCUGACGGAGCAACGCCGCGUGAGUGAUGAAGGUCUUCGGAUCGUAAAACUCUGUUAUUAGGGAAGAACAUAUGUGUAAGUAACUGUGCACAUCUUGACGGUACCUAAUCAGAAAGCCACGGCUAACUACGUGCCAGCAGCCGCGGUAAUACGUAGGUGGCAAGCGUUAUCCGGAAUUAUUGGGCGUAAAGCGCGCGUAGGCGGUUUUUUAAGUCUGAUGUGAAAGCCCACGGCUCAACCGUGGAGGGUCAUUGGAAACUGGAAAACUUGAGUGCAGAAGAGGAAAGUGGAAUUCCAUGUGUAGCGGUGAAAUGCGCAGAGAUAUGGAGGAACACCAGUGGCGAAGGCGACUUUCUGGUCUGUAACUGACGCUGAUGUGCGAAAGCGUGGGGAUCAAACAGGAUUAGAUACCCUGGUAGUCCACGCCGUAAACGAUGAGUGCUAAGUGUUAGGGGGUUUCCGCCCCUUAGUGCUGCAGCUAACGCAUUAAGCACUCCGCCUGGGGAGUACGACCGCAAGGUUGAAACUCAAAGGAAUUGACGGGGACCCGCACAAGCGGUGGAGCAUGUGGUUUAAUUCGAAGCAACGCGAAGAACCUUACCAAAUCUUGACAUCCUUUGACAACUCUAGAGAUAGAGCCUUCCCCUUCGGGGGACAAAGUGACAGGUGGUGCAUGGUUGUCGUCAGCUCGUGUCGUGAGAUGUUGGGUUAAGUCCCGCAACGAGCGCAACCCUUAAGCUUAGUUGCCAUCAUUAAGUUGGGCACUCUAAGUUGACUGCCGGUGACAAACCGGAGGAAGGUGGGGAUGACGUCAAAUCAUCAUGCCCCUUAUGAUUUGGGCUACACACGUGCUACAAUGGACAAUACAAAGGGCAGCGAAACCGCGAGGUCAAGCAAAUCCCAUAAAGUUGUUCUCAGUUUGGAUUGUAGUCUGCAACUCGACUACAUGAAGCUGGAAUCGCUAGUAAUCGUAGAUCAGCACGCUACGGUGAAUACGUUCCCGGGUCU